UAAAGGUAUUCCGGUAGACGAUGGGGAUGUGUUCCAUUAGAUAGUAGGCGGGGUAACGGCCCACCUAGUCUUCGAUGGAUAGGGGUUCUGAGAGGAAGGUCCCCCACAUUGGAACUGAGACACGGUCCAAACUCCUACGGGAGGCAGCAGUGAGGAAUAUUGGUCAAUGGGCGAGAGCCUGAACCAGCCAAGUAGCGUGAAGGAUGACUGCCCUAUGGGUUGUAAACUUCUUUUAUAAAGGAAUAAAGUCGGGUAUGGAUACCCGUUUGCAUGUACUUUAUGAAUAAGGAUCGGCUAACUCCGUGCCAGCAGCCGCGGUAAUACGGAGGAUCCGAGCGUUAUCCGGAUUUAUUGGGUUUAAAGGGAGCGUAGAUGGAUGUUUAAGUCAGUUGUGAAAGUUUGCGGCUCAACCGUAAAAUUGCAGUUGAUACUGGAUAUCUUGAGUGCAGUUGAGGCAGGCGGAAUUCGUGGUGUAGCGGUGAAAUGCUUAGAUAUCACGAAGAACUCCGAUUGCGAAGGCAGCCUGCUAAGCUGCAACUGACAUUGAGGCUCGAAAGUGUGGGUAUCAAACAGGAUUAGAUACCCUGGUAGUCCACACGGUAAACGAUGAAUACUCGCUGUUUGCGAUAUACUGCAA
rnacentral:rRNA from 1 species